AAGAUACUAGUAAAAUAAUUACCCUGCCUUGUCAAGGCAAAAUUGUAGGUUAAACCCCUGCGUAUCUUA
rnacentral:tRNA from 1 species